UACGGAGGGGGCUAGCGUUGUUCGGAAUUACUGGGCGUAAAGCGCGCGUAGGCGGACCUGCAAGUCGGGUGUGAAAUUUCGGAGCUUAACUCCGAAACUGCAUUCGAUACUGCGGUGCUUGAGGACUGGAGAGGAGACUGGAAUUCAUGGUGUAGCAGUGAAAUGCGUAGAGAUCAUGAGGAAGACCAGUGGCGAAGGCGGGUCUCUGGACAGUUCCUGACACUGAGGCACGAAGGCCAGGGGAGCAAACGGG
rnacentral:rRNA from 1 species